GUAUGUGAAAGCUGGUGGAGAUUUUCUCCUUCUAGGAUCAGAAGCUUUAAGGACAAAAUGGGUUUAGGAUGAUGAGCAGACACCUUGCUUCCAAGUAGAGAAAGAGACUGACAUUAACACUCUUCAGAGGAACAAUGGACAUUGAACUGGGUGAAUAUGGAACAGGUUUACUGAAAAAGACAUGAAUUUUUCAUAAAUGGAAGAUCUGUCAUGUUCCUGGAUCAAUGAGGAUCACUGGCUGUCUUCACAUGACCACACAGAACUGAAUCUUGUAGGAGCUACUGAACUUAGAAGAGAAUGCCAGACCUCAGAUGAGAAUCACAGCCCUACUGACACCUUAAAACCCCUUCAGCCUUGGAAAUUCUGACCUACAA